GCUUGUCUCAAAGAUUAAGCCAUGCAUGUCUAAGUAUAGUACCUUAUACUGCGAAACUGCGAAUGGCUCAUUAAAUCAGUUAUAAUUCAUUUGAUGGUACUUACUACUCGGAUAACCGUAGUAAUUCUAGAGCUAAUACAUGCGCAAAUUCCCGACUGUCGCAAGGCGGAAAGGAUGUAUUUAUUAGAUCCAACCAGCCCGGUUCGCCGGAGUCCCUGGUGAGUCAUAAUAACUGAGCGAAUCGCAUGGCCUUGUGCCGGCGAUGGUUCAUUCAAGUUUCUGCCCUAUCAGCUUUCGAUGGUAGGGUAUUGGCCUACCAUGGCGUUAACGGGUAACGGAGAAUUAGGGUUCGAUUCCGGAGAGGGAGCCUGAGAAACGGCUACCACAUCCAAGGAAGGCAGCAGG
rnacentral:rRNA from 1 species